CUGUUGUCACUGCCCUGGGGCAUUGACAACAGCGGGCGGAGGAGAUUCAAGGGCCAGAUCUUGAUGCCCACUAUUGGUUAUGGGAGCAACAAGGAAACAAA